UACAGAGGUCCCGAGCGUUGUUCGGAUUCACUGGGCGUAAAGGGUGCGUAGGCGGUCGGAUAAGUUUGAUGUGAAAUCUCCGGGCUUAACCCGGAAACUGCAUUGAAUACUAUUCGGCUUGAGGUCUGGAGGGGGGACUGGAAUUCUCGGUGUAGCAGUGAAAUGCGUAGAUAUCGAGAGGAACACCAGUGGCGAAGGCGAGUCCCUGGACAGGUCCUGACGCUGAGGCACGAAGGCCAGGGGAGCAAACGGG
rnacentral:rRNA from 1 species